UGCAAGAUGGCGGCGUCCGGGGGAGCCUGAAGGCUUGGGGAGGAGUGCGAGGUUUCCGUACAGCUAGAGCGUGCGGCCUGGGGGUCCUUUCGCUCUGUGUUCACUGUUCACAGGUUUCGCGCCGCGCAUCUUCCGAGGCCCUCGGGUGCGAUGUGGAGGAGCUGCCUCCGGCUGCGGGACGGGGGUCGCCGCCUCCUGGACCGGGCGCCGGGUGGCCGCACCGCCUCCGUGGGGCCAGGGCUAUCCCCGCAGUCCCCAGCCCGGGCCUAUGCACCCCCGACAGAAAGGAAGAGGUUUUAUCAGAAUGUCAGCAUCACACAGAGUGAAGGAGGCUUUGAGAUAAACCUCGACCACAGGAAGUUGAAAACUCCCCAAGCCAAGCUCUUUACCGUCCCCAGCGAGGCCCUGGCCAUCGCGGUGGCCACUGAAUGGGACUCCCAGCAGGAUACCAUCAAGUUCUACACCAUGCAUCUGACCACAUUGUGCAACACAUCCUUGGACAAUCCAACCCAGAGAAACAAGGAUCAGCUAAUCCGGGCGACUGUGAAGUUUCUGGACACUGACACCAUCUGCUACAGGGUGGAAGAGCCAGAGACAUUAGUGGAACUUCAAAAGAAUGAGUGGGAUCCAAUCAUAGAAUGGGCCGAGAAAAGAUACGGAGUGGACAUCGGCUCCUCCACCAGCAUAAUGGGACCCAGCAUCCCUGCCAAGACUCGGGAGGUGCUUGUCAGCCACCUGGCAUCUUACAAUAUGUGGGCCCUACAAGGGAUUGAGUUUGUAGUGACCCAGCUCAAGUCCAUGGUGCUGACCUUGGGUCUGAUUGACCUGCGCCUGACAGUAGAGCAGGCUGUGCUGCUGUCACGCUUGGAGGAGGAGUACCAGGUGUCACCAAGGUCAAACGGCUUAUCUCCUAUGGCACAUCUUGAUAUCUGCUGCCCAUGGUUGGGAACCUCACGCUGGGGAAACAGUCAUGUCAUCAACAGGACAACUCUAUUUGUGUUCUUCAGCCCUUAGCUUGAGGCUUUUUUUCCCUGGUUUUUAAUCAAAACUUUCUUUUGAAAGUUGUCCAGUUCGCUCUGUAUGUGGUCGAUGUAUUGACUGAUCUCCUUCACGCGCUUGCGGUUCCUCAUGAUCUCAUCGUUGUGGAUCUGAGGAGGGAAACCAAAGCCCAACAUCUUAGAUCAGCAGGUGGAUGUCAUGUGAUGCCCCGACAGCAUUAACAAUCGUGUCUUUGUCAACAAAAAGCUGGUGGAUGGGUGAGAAGUACCCUAUGAGAAUGUGUGUGUCAUUACACACUGAGCACAGAGUUAGAGAGCUGAAUAGAAAAGGAACACCUGCAUGUUAGAGUCCCCUGCUGUGCAGACCGCACCCAGUGGAGGGCCCACCUGUGUGACAAGUGCACUUUGUGCCAGCUUAUCCUCAGUUGACAACUGCCUCCCUGGCCUGAGCAGUGGCAGGUGUUAUGGGGAAAUGGCCAACCAGGGUGUCUCUUUGCAGUCCUUGCUGGGAGCAUGUUUUCUCCAGGGAGAAGGCAGGUGGCUGCCCAGGGGUGACCUCACACAGGACAUCUGUUCUCACAGUGCUGCUCUCUCAGUUGCUGUCACAUCUGACUUGCCCACAACCUCCACCAGGCGGUGGGAAGUGUGAGGCCGGCUGAGGGUUUCGAGACAGUGAGCCCUGCAAACUGAGGGUGUUCUCCCACAGUUGUCUCCCCACUCUCACGUCAACAAAAUCAAACCUUGGGUUCCAUUUGGGGUCUCCUCUGGCCUUCUCUUGUUCCGGACCUUGUUUGCUGCCUUGUAAGAAGCUGUUAAAAACACCCUCGAAUAGGCCUGGCUGGUUCUGGGUAUUGGCACUGUGGCUGUUAUGUGCCUGGAAUGCUUGAAAAUCAAGCGGAGGAAGGCCGCCGAAGCACUCAGGAAGCAGCUGCUUCUGCUUUGAAGCGGAGGUACUUUGUGAUGCCAAGGACGGCAGAGGACCUAGACUUUCUAUAUAGUAAAGGGAACUGCAAGUGGAAGGUAUACUUGUUUUUCAUUUUUUUUUCUUUUCUAUAGUAGCAGUUAACUUAAUAGUGUCUAAAAUAUGUUCUGUAGAAUCUUGAGAAGUUAAUAUUUCUGCAAAAAAAGAGAGUAUUCUUUGGUUAAAUACAUUUGGGAAAGCUGGCACACCCCAGGACCCUUCCGAAGAUUCACAGGGCACGAAGUAUUCUGAAG